rnacentral:lncRNA from 1 species
UCUUUGGUGGGGAAGAGGACAGUGUUUGUGAUGGGCAAUGCAAAGAAGCUGGAGGAGGUCAUUAAGAUUCUAGGAGAUAAGUUUUCAUGUACUUUGGUGGCAAAGAAAAUUGACCUGCUUAACUAUCAGGAAGAACUGGAUGAUAUUUCCAUACAGAAGUAUCAGGAGACAGCUCACCAGGUGCGGGGCCCUGUACUUGUGAAGAAUAUCUGUCUGUGCUUUAAUGCACUUAGGGGACUUCCCAGUCCCUACAUAAAAUAGUUCCUGUAGAAGCUAAAGUCUGUAGGUCUCCACCAGCUCCUGGCUGGCUUUGAAGAUAAAUCGGCCUAUGCACUCUGCAGAUUGGCUCUCAGCCCUAGGGACCCAAGCCAGCCAGUACUCCUGUUCAGAGGCUA